UACGUAGGGGGCAAGCGUUGUCCGGAUUUACUGGGCGUAAAGCGCGUGUAGGCGGGAAGGCAAGUCCGGUGUAAAAGCCCACGGCUCAACCGUGGAAGGUCGCUGGAAACUGCCUUUCUUGAGGGUGAUAGAGGGAAGUGGAAUUGCCGGUGUAGCGGUGAAAUGCGUAGAUAUCGGCAGGAACACCCGUGGCGAAGGCGGCUUCCUGGAUCACCCCUGACGCUGAGACGCGAAAGCGUGGGGAGCGAACGGG
rnacentral:rRNA from 1 species